rnacentral:piRNA from 1 species
UAGGAUGGCUGUGCAGCCAAAAAGUUGGGU